rnacentral:rRNA from 1 species
AGGACGAACGCUGGCGGCGUGCUUAACACAUGCAAGUCGAGCGGUGAUCCUCCUUCGGGAGGUGAUCAGCGGCGAACGGGUGAGUAACACGUGGGCAACCUGCCCCUCACACUGGGAUAACCUCGGGAAACCGGGGCUAAUACCGGAUACGACCUCGAGCGGCAUCUCUUGAGGUGGAAAGCUCCGACGGUGAGGGAUGGGCCCGCGGCCUAUCAGCUUGUUGGUGGGGUAAUGGCCUACCAAGGCGACG